rnacentral:rRNA from 1 species
UUACGCCUACGGGAGGCAGCAGUGAGGAAUAUUGGUCAAUGGGCGAGAGCCUGAACCAGCCAAGUCGCGUGAGGGAAGACGGUCCUAUGGAUUGUAAACCUCUUUUGUCGGGGAGCAAAAAGGCCUCGUGAGGCCACAAGUGAGAGUACCCGAAGAAAAAGCAUCGGCUAACUCCGUGCCAGCAGCCGCGGUAAUACGGAGGAUGCGAGCGUUAUUCGGAUUUAUUGGGUUUAAAGGGAGCGUAGGCCGGCUUUUAAGUCAGCUGUGAAAGUCCGCGGCUCAACCGUGGAAUUGCAGUUGAAACU